GGAAUCUUCUCUGUUUACAACACACCCAACAGGAAUCAUGUUUUGUGACAAGGGGCACAAAACUUGUGACCUUUCUUGGGAGCAAAUGUCCUACACAU
ensembl:snoRNA